UAUAAGAGAUUUUGAGUUUUUGCUUGUAACGUUUGACCACUUGUCUUAUUCAAAAAAUUUUGAAAUUAUUAUUUAUUUUAUUACUUUAUUAUCUACAGUACUUUAAGCACAACUUUUCAUUUUUUUAUAUUUAUAAAAAAAAUUUGAAUAAGACGAGUGGUCAAAUAUUGCAAGCAAAAACUCAAAAUCUCUUAUA
rnacentral:pre_miRNA from 1 species